UCAGGAUGAACGCUGGCGGCGUGCCUAACACAUGCAAGUCGAGCGGGAAAGUUGCGGAAAUAAGCUUCGGCAGAAAUAAGCGAUGGAUAGCGGCGGACGGGUGAGUAACGCGUAGGUAAGCUGCCCCGUGCAGAGGGAUAGCCUAGGGAAACCUGGAUUAAUACCACAUAAUGCGGAGGGGUCACAUGGCUCCAUCGCCAAAGAUUUAUCGGCAUGGGAUGCACCUGCGUCUGAUUAGAUAGUUGGUAGGGUAACGGCCUACCCAAGUCAACGAUCAGUAGCCGACCUGAGAGGGUAAUCGGCCACAUUGGAACUGAGACACGGUCCAAACUCCUACGGGAGGCAGCAGUGGGGAAUAUUGCACAAUGGGCGCAAAACGCCUGAUGCAGCAACGCCGCGUGAGUGAUGAAGGUCUUCGGGUCGUAAAACUCUGUCCUUGGGGACGAAGGAAGUGACGGUACCCAAGGAGGAAGCCCCGGCUAACUACGUGCCAGCCGCCGC
rnacentral:rRNA from 1 species